rnacentral:sRNA from 1 species
UACUUACGGCCGGUCCCAAUAACGUAUC